AUAAGGGUAGCAAAAUAAUAUGUAUUAGAUUUAGGUUCUAAAGAAUGAAGAGUUUAAGACUUUUUUCCUUAUA
rnacentral:tRNA from 1 species